AACUUUCAGCAACGGAUCUCUUGGCUCUCGCAUCGAUGAAGAACGCAGCGAAAUGCGAUAAGUAAUGUGAAUUGCAGAAUUCAGUGAAUCAUCGAAUCUUUGAACGCACCUUGCGCUCCUUGGUAUUCUGAGGAGCAUGCCUGUUUGAGUGU
rnacentral:rRNA from 1 species